rnacentral:rRNA from 1 species
UACACAUGCAGUCGAACGAUGACGACCGGGCUUGCCUGGUCUGAUUAGUGGCGAACGGGUGAGUAACACGUGAGUAACCUGCCCUUCACUCUGGGAUAACCUCGGGAAAUCGGGGCUAAUACCGGAUAUGAGUUCCUGCCGCAUGGUGGGUGCUGGAAAGUUUUUCGGUGAGGGAUGGACUCGCGGCCUAUCAGUUUGUUGGUGAGGUAAUGGCUCACCAAGGCGAUGACGGGUAGCCGGCCUGAGAGGGCGACCGGCCACACUGGGACUGAGACACGGCCCAGACUCCUACGGGAGGCAGCAGUGGGGAAUAUUGCACAAUGGGCGAAAGCCUGAUGCAGCGACNCCGCGUGGGGGAUGACGGCCUUCGGGUUGUAAACCUCUUUCAGCAGGGAAGAAGCGAGAGUGACGGUACCUGCAGAAGAAGCGCCGGCUAACUACGUGCCAGCAGCCGCGGUAAUACGUAGGGCGCAAGCGUUGUCCGGAAUUAUUGGGCGUAAAGAGCUUGUAGGUGGCUUGUCGCGUCUGCCGUGAAAACCCGAGGCUCAACCUCGGGCGUGCGGUGGGUACGGGCAGGCUAGAGUGUGGUAGGGGAGACUGGAACUCCUGGUGUAGCGGUGAUAUGCGCAGA